AAAGCUAUGGGUGAGUGGUCAGCGUACGCGAGCUAGCCAUGGGUGAGUGGCUAGCCUGCGGGCACAGCGACUAAGAGGACCAGGGUUCGCGUCCCGCCCACCGCUACGAACAAGCUGGCAAUUUUUCAGUCACCGCCGAGUGGCCCAAGACAACCCACCAGCUGUCCUGAAGACCACCUGUCGACCCGGACUCUGGAUUCACUCACAAAUUUAGAGGAUCAAAUGAACUCCGUGGGGGGAACAUGAGCCGAGCAGGAUGGCGCCACUAUAAACACUUGCCUGCGCCAUAACAAGCGGGGGCAGACCACCAGGACCCACCAAGAAACCCUACCGUCGCCAUAGACAACGCAAAAAAAAAGAAGGAAAAAAAGGUUCACCAACAGUCACGGAUGAGUGGAACAGGCUCGCCAGUCAUGUUGUGAGUGCCAAUGUGAUUAGUACUAUGAAGAAGAGGUUAGACCGUUAGACGCAUUCAUGGAUAGAGUGAGGUUCGGUUUGCAGGAGCUGCCUUGUAUAGAACUACCGGCCUCUUGCAGACUCCUUAUGUUCUUAUGUUCUUAUUCUCAUGAUCUGAUGUUCUAAUCCUAAUGUUCUUAUGUUCUUAUCCUUAUGUUCUUCUCAUAAUCUUAUGUUCUUAUCCUUAUGUUCUUCUCAUGAUCUUACGUUCUAAUCCUAAUGUUCUUAUGUUCUUAUCCUUAUGUUCUUUUGCUGUUAUCCUUAUGUUCUUCUCAUGAUCUUAUGUUCUAAUCCUAAUGUUCUUAUGUUCUUAUCCUUAUGUUCUUUUGUUUUUAUCCUUGUGUUCUCAUGAUCUUACGUUCUAAUCCUAAUGUUCUUAUGUUCUUAUCCUUAUGUUCUUUUGCUGUUAUCCUUAUGUUCUUCUCAUGGUCUUAUGUUCUUUGAUCCCGACCUAUCCCGCACCUUCAGUUCUUCAUAUCAUUCGUAGUUUGAGGGUAGACAACAGCACCGGAGACACAUUGGCCCAAGUGUACCAUCAUGAAUUUCGUUAGGCACCACUCUUCCUCCCUGGCCUUGUAUGAAUCACGAGUACUUGCAUACUUUCAAAUCUUAACAAUUCAUUUUUUUCUGCCGGCAACACCUGUACACAAAUAUACUGUCCGAACUGUACCCGUGAGUUUCGUUAGGCACCAGUCUUUCUCCCUGGCCUUGUAUGAAUCACGAGUACUUGCAGACUUUCAAACCAUCAUAAUUCUUUUUCUUUCCGGCGACACCUGCACACAAAUAUACUGCCCGAAUUAUGAGCCUAUGAGUUUCGUUAGGCACCACACGUUAACCUUGACCUCAUUCAGACCACAACAACUGCUACACACUCGUUGCUUCAUUAGUUUCACAGGACGACAGCUAUGGACAUUUCUCUCUUCUUCGGUGAUGCCCAUAGCGACGGUGGGCUGUUUUGAGGGGCCUCUUAGAUGACCCCAGGCUGAUAGUGGCGCGGGUGAAAUUGAUUUAUAGUGUCUGCCGUGAUGUAUGUAUGCCUCUUGCCCUGACUAUGAUGACUCAACUAUGUGAUAUGAUUAGACAAGACUCGUUUUCCUUGACCCGCUUCAUAUUGCGACUACUACGACACGCUUUCUGUUCUUCAUAUCAUUAGAUUUAUGGAGAGGACAACUGCAGAAAGAUAAAAUUAACUAACCUGAACUCCUCCUCCUCCUCCUUCUCCUACUCCUGAAGACGAAGGAGGUGAAGAGAGGAACAGAAAGGAGAGGAGAGAGAACAGAAGACGAAGGAGAGAAGGAGGAGGAGGAGGAGGAGGAGGAGGUGAGGAAGGAAGAGAGAGGAGAGUAUAGAAGAGGAUAAAACUAACCUAACUGUGAUAUAAUGAGUCUAGCUAUGCAUCACAAGUUCCAGUCAAGUUCAAGUUCAAGUCUAUUCACUCCUACACGUUUUCCAUUCUCCAUAUCAUUAUUUUUAAGGGGGGAACAACUGUAAAAAUGAUAUACUAACCUAACUAUGUGAUAAAAUGAAUCUAGUUAUGCAUCACACGUUCAAAUCAAGUUCAAGUUCAAGUCUAUUCACUCCUACACGUUUUCCAUUCUCCAUAUCAUUAUUUUUAAGGGGGGAACAACUGUAAAAAUGAUAUACUAACUUAACUAUGUGAUAUAAUGAGUCUAGCUAUGCAUCACAAGUUCAAAUCAGGUUCAAGUUCAAGUCUAUUCACUCCUACACGUUUUCCAUUCUCCAUAUCAUUAUUUUUAAGGGGGGAACAACUGUAAAAAUUAUAUACUAACCUAACUGUGAUUUGAGUCUAGCUAUGCAUCACAAGUUCAAAUCAGGUUAAAGUUCAAGUUUAUACACUCCUACACGCUUUCCAUUCUCUAUAGCACUAGUUUUAAGGGGGGAACCACUGUAAAAAUAAUAUACUAACUUAACUAUGUGAUAUAAUGAGUCUAGCUAUGCAUCACAAGUUCAAAUCAGGUUAAAGUUCAAGUUUAUACACUCCUACACGCUUUCCAUUCUCUAUAGCACUAGUUUUAAGGGGGGAACAACUGUAAAAAUAAUAUACUAACCUAACUAUGUGAUAAAAUGAGUCUAGCUAUGCAUCACACGUUCAAAUCAAGUUCAAGUCUUAUCUAUUCACUCCUACACGUUUUCCAUUCUCCAUAUCAUUAUUUUUAAGGGGGGAACAACUGUAAAAAUACUAUACCCACUUAACUAUGUGAUAAAAUUAAUCUAGUUAUGCAUCACACGUUCAAAUCAGGUUAAAGUUCAAGUUUAUACACUCCUACACGCUUUCCAUUCUCUAUAGCACUAGUUUUAAGGGGGGACCAACUGUAAAAAAUGAUAUACCAAUUUAACAAUGUGAUAAAAUUAAUAUAGUUAGGCAUCACACGUUCUCCUUGACCUACAUAUUAUCACGAGCAACUACAAAAUACUUCAAAUUCUCCUUAGUAUCGAUUUUAUGGGAAGAACAACUGUAAAUGUGAUAUACUAACUUAACUAUGCCAUUUAAUGAGUCUAGUUAUGAAUCACACGUUCAAAUCAGACUGUAAUUCAAAUCUAUACAAUACUACAUGCUUUCCAUUCUCUAUAUCAUUAGUCUUAUUGGAGGGGCAACUAUAGAAAACACAUAGGUCGGUGCUCUUAGACGCCUCCACCCCUCUCAUUAACUAUUUCCAAAGGGCAUAAAGGAUAUCAAUCGGGUUCUCAGGAGUGAUUCUUCAGGUUCACGGUGCAGAAGAAGGGUCAGACUGCCACCAGGGUCAUAAAACUACCCCUGGAAAUGCCCUAAACUAAUACAUUAACUAUUUUCAAAGGCCGUGAGUGGUUUUUUUAGGUUCACGGUACAGAGGAAGGGUCAGACUACCACCAGGAUCAUAAAACUACCCCUGGAAAUGCCCGAAACUCCUACAUCAACUAUUUUCAAAGGGCAUAAAGGAGAUCAAUUGGGUUUUCAGGAGUGUUUCUUUAGGUUCACGGCACAGAAGAAGGCUCAGACAACCACCAGGGUCAUAAAUCUACAGCUGGAAAUGCCCACAACUCCUACAAUCAUUAUUUUCAAGGGCCGUGAGUGUUUUUUUUAGGUUCACGGCACAGAAGAAGGGUCAGACUACAACCAGGGCCAUAAAACUACCCCUGGAAAUGCCCGAAACUCCUACAAUCAUUAUUUUCAAGGGCCGUGAGUGGUUUUUUUUUAGGUUCACGGUACAGAAGAAGGGUCAGACUACAACCAGGGCCAUAAAACUACCCCUGGAAAUGCCCGAAACUCCGCCGCAUACCUAAAUGUUCAAGAGUAUGACCUGUAAUGACCUAAGAGUGUGAUAUAAUGAGCCUGGUUGUCUUUCGCGUUAUCCUCGACCUAAAUGGAAUGACGAGUGACUUUGUACUUUCAAUUCUUCUUUGCAGUCGUCAUUUAAAUAUUUCCCCGCCUAGAACAGAAUCCAACCCCUUAACUUAGGAUCGAGUCUACCUGGGAUCGUCAACACCUUUUAAUAAUUAGUUGUUUUCCUUCACCUGGAUUGAUUAAUAGACCACUAGCUUCUCUCUCUCUCUCUCUCUCUCUCUCUCUCUCUCUCUCUCUCUCUCUCUCUCUCUCUCU